rnacentral:rRNA from 1 species
AGUGAACGCUGGCGGUAGGCCUAACACAUGCAAGUCGAACGGCAGCACAGUAAGAGCUUGCUCUUACGGGUGGCGGGUGGCGGACGGGUGAGGAAUACAUCGGAAUCUACUUUUUCGUGGGGGAUAACGUAGGGAAACUUACGCUAAUACCGCAUACGACCUACGGGUGAAAGCAGGGGAUCUUCGGACCUUGCGCGAUUGAAUGAGCCGAUGUCGGAUUAGCUAGUUGGCGGGGUAAAGGCCCACCAAGGCGACGAUCCGUAGCUGGUCUGAGAGGAUGAGCAGCCACACUGGAACUGAGACACGGUCCAGGCUCCUACGGGAGGCAGCAGUGGGGAAUGUUGGACAAUGGGCGCAAGCUUGAUCCAGCCAUACCGCGUGGGUGAAGAAGGCCUGCGGGUUGUAAAGCCCUUUUGUUGGGAAAGAAAAGCAGCAGGUUAAUACCCCGCUGUUCUGACGGUACCCAAAGAAUAAGCACCGGCUAACUUCGU